AAUAGAUACCCAGGUAGUCCACGCCGUAAACGAUGAGUGCUAAGUGUUAGAGGGUUUCCGCCCUUUAGUGCUGCAGCUAACGCAUUAAGCACUCCGCCUGGGGAGUACGGUCGCAAGACUGAAACUCAAAGGAAUUGACGGGGGCCCGCACAAGCGGUGGAGCAUGUGGUUUAAUUCGAAGCAACGCGAAGAACCUUACCAGGUCUUGACAUCCUCUGACAACUCUAGAGAUAGAGCGUUCCCCUUCGGGGGACAGAGUGACAGGUGGUGCAUGGUUGUCGUCAGCUCGUGUCGUGAGAUGUUGGGUUAAGUCCCGCAACGAGCGCAACCCUUGAUCUUAGUUGCCAGCAUUUAGUUGGGCACUCUAAGGUGACUGCCGGUGACAAACCGGAGGAAGGUGGGGAUGACGUCAAAUCAUCAUGCCCCUUAUGACCUGGGCUACACACGUGCUACAAUGGAUGGUACAAAGGGCUGCAAGACCGCGAGGUCAAGCCAAUCCCAUAAAACCAUUCUCAGUUCGGAUUGUAGG
rnacentral:rRNA from 1 species